AAGCGAAGAAAACACCAACGGUUGAUCUAAAAUCUAAGCAAAUGGCACCAAACGUCGACAAGUCGAGAAAACCAAAGAUCCGACAAGUUUGGAUCCGGAAAGGUGAUAUCUUUCCUUGCUUCUCGUCUUAGUUGUUUUUUAUUUCUUGUGUAGUGCUUUGAUAGGUGCUUGUUGCAUAUUUUUAUUCAUUGCAUUACAUGAUGAUUUUCGUGUGUGAAAGUUGUUUUUAAAAUUGAUUUGAGGAAAGGUGUUUGGAAAUUUAAAAAUUUUUUUUUUCUUUGAGAGAGGAGAUGAUUGAGAAUCAUUAUUUUGAGGAGAGAAAUUUUUCAAAGUUGUUUAAACGGUGUUUAACUUCACAAUCAUAUUAAGUUAAAUUCAUAUUAAUUAUCGUUUUUACUCCACUUUUUAUUAUUUUGACGAUAAUUUAAUAUAUGAUUUCUUAAUACAUAUAUUCAUUAAAAUUUUGAAAUCAAAUUUGA
rnacentral:lncRNA from 1 species